GGUCUUGACAUCCACGGAAGAAUUCAGAGAUGGAUUUGUGCCUUCGGGAACCGUGAGACAGGUGCUGCAUGGCUGUCGUCAGCUCGUGUUGUGAAAUGUUGGGUUAAGUCCCGCAACGAGCGCAACCCUUAUCCUUUGUUGCCAGCGGUCCGGCCGGGAACUCAAAGGAGACUGCCAGUGAUAAACUGGAGGAAGGUGGGGAUGACGUCAAGUCAUCAUGGCCCUUACGACCAGGGCUACACACGUGCUACAAUGGCGCAUACAAAGAGAAGCGACCUCGCGAGAGCAAGCGGACCUCAUAAAGUGCGUCGUAGUCCGGAUUGGAGUCUGCAACUCGACUCCAUGAAGUCGGAAUCGCUAGUAAUCGUGGAUCAGAAUGCCACGGUGAAUACGUUCCCGGGCCUUGUACACACCGCCCGUCACACCAUGGGAGUGGGUUGCAAAAGAAGUAGGUAGCUUAACCUUCGGGAGGGCGCUUACCACUUUGUGAUUCAUGACUGGGGUGAAGUCGUAACAAGGUAACCGUAGGGGAACCUGC
rnacentral:rRNA from 1 species